rnacentral:rRNA from 1 species
UACGAAGGGGGCUAGCGUUGCUCGGAAUCACUGGGCGUAAAGCGCACGUAGGCGGGUCCUUAAGUCAGGGGUGAAAUCCCGGAGCUCAACUCCGGAACUGCCUUUGAUACUGGGGAUCUUGAGUCCGGAAGAGGUGAGUGGAACUCCGAGUGUAGAGGUGAAAUUCGUAGAUAUUCGGAAGAACACCAGUGGCGAAGGCGGCUCACUGGUCCGGUACUGACGCUGAGGUGCGAAAGCGUGGGGAGCAGACAGG